rnacentral:rRNA from 1 species
UUGGGAAUAUUGCGCAAUGGGGGAAACCCUGACGCAGCAACGCCGCGUGAAGGAUGAAGGCCUUCGGGGUCGUAAAACUUCUGUCAGAUGGGGAAGAAGGUCUGUCGGUUAAGAGCUAGCAGGCUUGACGGUACCAUCAGAGGAAGCCCCGGCUAACUCCGUGCCAGCAGCCGCGGUAAUACGGAGGGGGCAAGCGUUAUUCGGAUUUAUUGGGCGUAAAGGGCGCGUAGGCGGCUUGAUAAGUCAAAGGGUGAAAUCCCUCGGCUCAACCGAGGAACUGCCUUUGAAACUGUCUCGCUAGAGUUCGGGGAGAGGGUAGCGGAAUUCACAGUGUAGCGGUGAAAUGCGUAGAUAUUGUGAGGAACACCAGUGGCGAAGGCGGCUACCUGGACCGAUACUGACGCUGAGGUGCG